rnacentral:rRNA from 1 species
AUUGAACGCUGGCGGCAUGCCUUACACAUGCAAGUCGAACGGUAACAGGUCUUCGGAUGCUGACGAGUGGCGAACGGGUGAGUAAUACAUCGGAACGCGCCUAGUAGUGGGGGAUAACUACUCGAAAGAGUAGCUAAUACCGCAUGAGAACUGAGGUUGAAAGCAGGGGAUCGUAAGACCGUGCGCAACUGGAGCGGCAGAUGGCAGAUUAGGGAGUUGGGGGGAUAAAAGCUUACCAAGCCGACGAUCUGUAGCUGGUCUGAGAGGACGACCAGCCACACUGGGACUGAGACACGGCCCAGACUCCUACGGGAGGCAGCAGUGGGGAAUUUUGGACAAUGGGCGAAAGCCUGAUCCAGCAAUGCCGCGUGCAGGAUGAAGGCCUUCGGGUUGUAAACUGCUUUUGUACGGAACGAAAAGCUUCGGGCUAAUACCCUGGAGUCAUGACGGUACCGUAAGAAUAAGCACCGGCUAACUACGUGCCAGCCGCCGCGGUAACAC